GGGAGUGUAGCUUAACUGGUAGAGCAUCAGUCUCCAAAACUGAGGGUUAUAGGUUCAAUUCCUAUCGCUCCUG
rnacentral:tRNA from 1 species